AGAAAUUAAGCUGCAAUCAAGAAGAUGGAUAUGCAAGCAUCGAAAGAAUUUCUUGCUGAGCUGAAGGUUUUAACACACGUUCAUCACUUAAACCUGUUCGAGGAUGUUCUGAGACAGCCUGAUCCAAGAGAAAAUCUCCCUAAACUAGUUGGAUCCUAGGCUUGGAGAUGACUACCCUCUUGACUCCGUUUGCAAGAUGGCUCAGCUUGCUAGAGCUUGUACACAGGAAAUUCCUCAACUAAGACCAAGCAUGAGAUGAUCAGCUGUGGUAGCACUUGUGAUACUUUCAUCCACAACUGACGAUUGGGGCCGGUGUUGGUUCAUUCUAUGAUAAUGCCUGUGGAUUGCAAUGAUUGUUACCACUAUAUAUAAAUCCUGAUUAUAUAUUUUUUUCUAUUUUAUUAACUUUAUUCUUUGAAUUUCUAGAUUAUUUUCUUUCUAUAUUCAUUUCACGUAUAAUUAUUUAUUUCUUUUUUUUUUCAAAACCUAUAAUUUUUUUCUCAUGAGAAUUUGUACUUAAGAGUAAUUAAUAGAAUAUUACUAUGUAUUUUCCUUGUAUCAUAAGACCUUUUUAUAUAUAUAUGAUUGAUAGAAUUUCCUCAAAUUAGAACUUAAACAUGAUAACAAUGA